AUGCAGUUGGUAUGGUCUGGCAAGACAGCAAUUAACAUUAAUGGCGAGGUGGAGCCAUUCUUUUUGUCCUCUACGGGAGUGAAGCAAGGGGACCCGAUAUCCCCUCUUCUCUUCAAUCUCGUCGUGGAUGUGUUGGCGGGAAUCCUGGAUAAAGCUAGGAGGGCCGGCCACCUCUCGGGAGUUGUUGGUCACCUCAUUCUGGGAGCAGGGGUCACUCAUCUCUAGUACGCCGAUGAUGCCAUGAUUAUGGUGGGAGGGUCUGAUCUCGACAUAGUUAAUCUUAAGUUCCUACUCCUCUUCUUUGAGGCUAUGUCGGGACUCAAGAUUAACUUUGACAAGAGCAAGGUCAUCAUCCUAGGCUACCCUGCGGGGGAACAACAGAGAAUUGUGGAUAACCUAAACUGCAGCCUAACCUCAUUUCCCAUUACUUAUUGGGGAUGCCGAUGGCAGACUCGAAAAUCCUGA
rnacentral:rRNA from 1 species